rnacentral:rRNA from 1 species
UACAGAGGGUGCGAGCGUUGUCCGGAAUCACUGGGCGUAAAGGGCGCGUAGGCGGCUUGAUAAGGUUGCGGUGAAAGCCCGGGUCUCAACCCCGGGUCGGCCGUGGCAACUGUCGAGCUGGAGCACUGUAGAGGCAGGUGGAAUUCCGGGUGUAGCGGUGGAAUGCGUAGAGAUCCGGAAGAACACCGGUGGCGAAGGCGGCCUGCUGGGCAGUGGCUGACGCUGAGGCGCGACAGCGUGGGGAGCAAACAGG